AGAGAGAGACAUGCGCGCAUAUCAAUAAGCGGAGGAAAAGAAACUAACAAGGAUUCCCUUAGUAACGGCGAGUGGAAGCGGGAAGAGCUCAAAUUUGAAAUCUUCAAGGUUUUACCUUGACGAAUUGUAGUUUAAAGAAGUGUUUUCUGCUGAAGUUUUGGUAAAAGUUCUUUGGAAUAGGACAUCAUAGAGGGUGAGAAUCCCGUAUUUGACCAUUAUUUUCAGCUUUGUGAUACACUUUCAAAGAGUCGGAUUGUUUGGGAAUGCAGUCCAAAAUGGGUGGUAAAUUUCAUCUAAAGCUAAAUAUUGGCGAGAGACCGAUAGCGAACAAGUACCGUGAGGGAAAGAUGAAAAGAACUUUGAAAAGAGAGUUAAACAGUACGUGAAAUUGUCAAAAGGGAAGCGUUUGACACCAGUGUUGUUUUCUCGAAAAUCAAUUAAAAAUGGCUCGAUUUUGUAUUGCUUGAGACCUUAAAAGCUCACUGUACAUUUUUCGUGUCUUUUUUAAUGCACUUUUCGUUUAACAAGUCAACAUCAGUUUCUUUUGUUGUAAAAGGGUCAUUGGAAGGUGGCUUUCUUUUCGGAGAAAGUGUUUAUAGCCUUUGGCCUCUGCAAUCGGAGAGACUGAGGUCUGCAGCGUAGACUCUUCGGGGUUAGAUACAUUUGUGCUAAGUUAUAGCUUUUUAUAGACAACUUGUUGACUAUAAUUAGUCUUGUAGCUUACUCGCUUAUGCUAUUUUACCUACGCUUAGGAUGUUGAAGAUGUAGCACAUCAU
rnacentral:rRNA from 1 species